GAUGAGGAACGUAGCGAAAUGCGAUAAGUAAUGUGAAUUGCAGAAUUCCGUGAAUCAUCGAAUCUUUGAACGCACAUUGCGCCCUCUGGUAUUCCGGGGGGCAUGCCUGUCCGAGCGUCAUUUGCAACCCUCAAGCCCGGCUUGUGUGAUGGGUGCCGUCCCCUACGGGACGCGCCCCGAAGGCAAUGGCGGCGUCGCGGUUAUCCGAUCAGCCAAAGUGUAUGGGGCUUUGUCACUCACUUUACGGCCCGGACCGGCGCCAGUCCGAAUCAAUCUUUUUUCUAAAGUUGACCUCGGAUCAGGUAGGGAUACCCGCUGAACUUAAGCAUAUCAAUAAGCGGAGGA
rnacentral:misc_RNA from 1 species